AUGCUGACCCUCCUCUCCGACCUCGCGGAGAUCGCCCAGGACGUGGACGCGCCCGGGCGGGACGCCGUGCUCCUCCGCGUCGACCGCCUCCGACACGCUCCGACGGCGCUGGAGGUCCUGCUCCACCUCGUCGAGCACCACGACUGGCGGGUGCUCAACCUCCGCCACGUCAGGGAGGCGGCGGCGCUGGGCGGAGCGCUGACCGACGCCAAGCGCUUGCUCCGAAGGCUUCGCCGCGCCCUCGUCAAGCUCUCCGAAGCACGCGGGACUCUGCUGGAAUCCAUCGCGAGGAUCGAGGACAGCUACAGGGGCUUCCUCCUGCCUGACCUCGCCGGGUUCGAGGCCCUCUGCGCUGGAGUACGCCGCUUUGUCGUCGCCGCUGAGUCGCACCAGGUGGGCAGCGGGAGCCUGGUGGCUGGCAUCGACUCUCAACUCGAGGCCGUGCGCCGGCGGCGGCCUAAGAUGAACUUCGCCAUCCCCUCCUCCUUCAGGCGCUACGACCUGUACAUCGACUUGAACCAGUCCAUCCUGUUCCUCCGCCGAGCUCACGAGAAGGUCGACAGGAGGUUGUCCCGCCUUCACCCUGUCGUCGCCGCUCUGCAGGAACAGGCAGCACGCCUGGAGGAAACGACGCACGGGGUCAGUCGUCCAGCGCCCCAGACGCUCAACAUCGCCAGGUCCUUGUGGACAUCUACCUCCGCACUCGCGCACUCAGCUGGCAACUCCACAUACAACGUUUUGAUCCCCUGCAUCGCCAAUCAUCUGGAGCUGCUCCGAGCUUCGCUGGCCGCACCCCUGGCUCUUCCAUACGAGUGGUUCACUGGAGUUAUCAACAUCUGUUCGCUCCGUGACAUCGCCGACCUACGCGACAUCUCCCGUCCACUACUCGACGAUGAGCCCUCCCACCGCAUCCAUGUCGUCGUCGGUGGAGUGAGGGCGCUCGUGGAGGCUCAGGGAAUGCACGUACAGCUGAUGACCGGUGUGGAUGAGCGCCGGUGGGUGGUGCAGGGACUGCCCCAACUUGCGCAGGCGGUGAUGCUCUCCAACGGACUCUCCGCGCUCAAGGUUGCCUUGGACAGAGCGCACCGGGGUAAUGUCUACAGUGCCGAUGGUGAAGUGAUUGCCCCUGAAUACUUUGAUGAUGUGCGUGAGCGUGCAUCAGAGGUUCAAGACAUCGUCGACAGCGACCCUACUGUCAUCUCCUCUGGGGCACCUGCUCUCCUCACCCGCGUGGCAGAGCUCUUAGACAAUGAGCGGCAGGACAAGGUUUUCGAUGUUAUUCUGGAGCUGAACGCCGUUCAGCUUGAGGGCAUAAUUUUCAUCUAG
rnacentral:rRNA from 1 species